rnacentral:sRNA from 1 species
GUCUGGCUAACGUGGCCGCAUGCGGGGGUGCUCCAGGGACUCGGGAGGUGGCGGCCCGUUAGCCGCUGUGUUCCCCGCGUUGGCAGAGAAAUGUCGAGACCGUGUAAAACAGCGGUUCGGCGAGUAACAGACAGCCACCCGACCCCUAGGGAUCCGGCCUUGUCCGACCGGACCACACUCGUUCGCGAGUGUGGAAGUCCCCAGGGGUCGCUUCAU